rnacentral:tRNA from 1 species
GGACCUUUAGCUCAGUUGGUCAGAGCAGACGGCUCAUAACCGUCUGCUCAUAGGUUCAAAUCCUAUAAGGUCCA